AUUGAACGCUGGCGGCAGGCCUAACACAUGCAAGUCGAGCGGAUGAAGGGAGCUUGCUCCUGGAUUCAGCGGCGGACGGGUGAGUAAUGCCUAGGAAUCUGCCUGGUAGUGGGGGAUAACGUCCGGAAACGGGCGCUAAUACCGCAUACGUACUGAGGGAGAAAGUGGGGGAUCUUCGGACCUCACGCUAUCAGAUGAGCCUAGGUCGGAUUAGCUAGUUGGUGGGGUAAAGGCCUACCAAGGCGACGAUCCGUAACUGGUCUGAGAGGAUGAUCAGUCACACUGGAACUGAGACACGGUCCAGACUCCUACGGGAGGCAGCAGUGGGGAAUAUUGGACAAUGGGCGAAAGCCUGAUCCAGCCAUGCCGCGUGUGUGAAGAAGGUCUUCGGAUUGUAAAGCACUUUAAGUUGGAAGGAAGGGCAGUAAGUUAAUACCUUGCUGUUUUGACGUUACCAACAGAAUAAGCACCGGCUAACUUCGUG
rnacentral:rRNA from 1 species